ACACCGUUUUUAAGUUUGAUAUAACAUGCUGACACCGUUUACAGUUCACACACCCUUUCCCCAUGUUUUUUCUCUUUUCUACCCUUGAUCUCUAACCAAGUCCUUCCAACGAAAAUCAUGGUUCCGUUUACAUUCUCUCAUUUUUAUUUAACUUUUUAUUUAAAAUUUAUUUUUUUGCCCAAAACAGUAAAACAAUUAUCUCUAGUUUUUUUUUUUUAAACUAACAAUUAUCUCUAGUUUAUCUGAAAGUAAUAACUCUAAUUUGGCCAUUUCCCCUCUCCCUCGAGCGCAUCUUCCCCAGAAGGCCAGAACUACACUCUAACUUUUUAUGAAGCAAGGAAUCGAAAUUUGGUUUGGUUGCUCGUAGAGUGAAGACGAUUGGUUCCAGUAAAGAAAAACAAAGACCUCUCACCAAAGAAGGAUGCAAAAUUGUAUGAUGAAAUAUGUUUAUGUAAACUUUAAUGGGAAUCCACGAUUGAAGGAAAAAACAAGAAACUGGAAAGCUUGUCUUUUGAUUCUUGGAUAAUGAAUGUCGUGAGAGGCUAGCUUACUAUAGUAUUGCUGGGAAUCUAAUCACUUACCUCACCACUAAGCUACACCAAGGAAACGUUGCCGCUGCUACAAACGUCACCACAUGGCAAGGGACAUGUUAUCUCACUCUUCUCGUAAUGACUGAAAACACAUAAUGAAUGAAAACACAUCCAGAAAUACGACAUCCAUAUGGACAACGUUUGGUGGAUAACAAGAUGUUUGACAAUAGAGUUUUAUCACACGUUUGCUUUUACUUUUGUUUAAGAGUAGUUCUUGUUUGUUAACAUAUUGGUUCAUUUGCA